ACUCUCUUAAAUAAAAACAUUUAAGUCCUUAUGCAUUUCCAGGGUUCUAAACUCACAUAAUUUCUCAGCAUUUUAUCAGAAAGUUUAGCUGAAUUUUAUAUUCUUUCUCUGGACAGCAGUACCUUUCUUUUUCUUCUUUGAACUGCCUUCUUUGACUCUGUUCAUUUACACUGUGAAUUUUUUCUUUCUUUUUUUGAUGGUACUGGGAAUUGAACCAAGAACACACUGAGCUAUAUCCCCAGCCCUUUUUUGAUUUUUAUUCUGAGACAGAGUCUCACAAAACUGCCCAGACUGGGCUAGAACUUUGCGAUCUUCUUGCCUCAGGCUCCCAGAGUGUUGGGAAUACAAAAGUCCCUUCAAUCUGCAGUCCUCCUUUUUACUAAGUUAUAAUGAUAGUUUGUCCUGGACUGACUGGGAAUUAAGAAACUUCUCACUUUCUCACCGUGCUCCCUACUAGCUGUGUAAUCUAGAGCAGGUCUUUUUACUUCUCUAGGCCCAUUUUUCUCAUUUAGGAAAUGAGGCCCUUUACUAGAUGCUUUUAGAGCCCCCUCCAGCUGUAACAUUAUCUGAAUCUGCAAUUCCCUACAGGAACCAAAGAGGAUUAUGCUACUUUAAUAAAAAGCUGCUUUCAUGAAAUAUUUGUUAGCAUAGAAUAAGAGUGUUGCUGCUUGCUCUAAAUUGAGCCGGGUUUAUUUCCUCUGUAGCAGGAAUAAUGGUCUAAGAAAUACUCAUAAGGCAAAAAAAAAAUCUCUGCUUUUCUGCGUGUGUGUGUGUGUAACCAAGGCUUGAACCCAGGGCCUUCACACUGAGCUACAUAUCCAGCCUGUAAAUUUUUUUUUUUUUAAUAUUGAAAUAGGAUCUGGCUAAACCUAGACUGGGCUUGUUUAAAAUCUUCCUGCUUCAGCUUCCCCAAGUGGUGGGAUUAUAGUGAGCCACCACGACUGGCUAAUACUCUGCUUCUAAGAGUAUUUAUCCGUAAACCUAAAGAAUCUUGUCUCGGGUGAAAACUCAGUUGCUUUCUAGAGCAGCAGCUUUCCAGAGUGUCAGGAUCUGCUGAGGAGUGUGCGCAGCGAAUCCGUGGUGAGUGUGUGCCUCACUGAGCUUUCUGGUGUAGUCAGCGUCACAGUACACUCACUCAGAUUCAAAUGGAUCCUUCUGAAUGGGAAGUGUGGAGUUAUGGCUGGGUGACCAGAGACCACACCCAUGAGCCUCAGCUGUCAGGUGUGAGAGAGCAGGAGAUAGGCUAUGAGCCAGCAUUCUAGAAACUUCUCAUCCAGGAGCACCACCUCCAUCUACCAGCAGUGGUCUUUCCACACCAGUGGUGUCAGGCUGGACUCCCGAAGGUUCAGGUUAUUCUCCAGGACGUCAGCUCUGGUGGUUGAAACAUCCUCCACAGGUACUCCUAGCUUGCUUCAAAAACUAGUCAGGAAACUGUCUAAAUGUGAAGAGCCUACUCUGGUCUUAAUAGCAUAAAUUCUAAUGCCAAGACAAGAAAUUUCUCAAACAUCUUUAUUGCAUAUGUUUUUCACCAAGCAAAAUAUUGACUUAGUGACUCAUCAGUGUUUCUUCCCAGCAGUACAACACCUAAUAUUAAGUUAAUCGGGGACGUUGCAAAGCAGGGCAGACUUGAAAGGCUGAAAUACUGCCUUGCUGCCCAGUUACCACUUCACUGAACACAUAGAUGCUUGUUGUUUGUGCCCCUCUUAAGCUGCUUCUCCAAGCCUGCCUGGAAAAAGAAGUAGCACUUUCUUUGAGUGCCAAGCCUUAACUGGCAGUCUGAAUCUACACCUAAGCUAUUGGCUCUCUGUCACUCAUCAUCUUCUAAGUACUUUCCCUCAAAUGCAAGCUAUCUGUAGAAGAGGUAUCAGAAACCCAGUCCAAUGUACAGUUGCCCCUGAAGUGGCACCUCUGGUUUAAAUGCACAUUUUCCUGUAAUGUUCAUGUUGCCUGCACAUCCCCAGCUGAGAGGUUGUAAGAGGGACACUAGGCUAUCAAUUUAGACUGGUUACCCAUUUUCCUAUGAAAGGGAGCUAUGAAUAAUAGUCUUAGAGGUGGUCAUAUGAAAGGACAGGAGUUAUCUACAUGGUGGUGUGUAUACACCUGCUGGUAAUUCUGUAUAAUCUAACAAAUACAUUUAUCUGACAGUUGGAAUAGUCAGGAUUUCAGGGAAAAAUAUAUGCAGAAGCUAACUAAGCAUCUGUUAAUAGUGUUGAAGAGAGUUCUGCUUGAGGUGGAAAAUGGACAAGAUGACUUUUAAGGUCUUUUUCAAUUUUGUCAUUGGAAAUAUCCAAAUGCAAUCUGAUAGUCUUAAAACCUUUGUCCUCUAAAAUCUUAUGUAUUCAAUUUAGAGUAUUUCAGAUUUUUUUUUUUCUUCUGGUACCGGGGAUCAAACUUGGGUCCUUCCGCUUGAGAGGCAGGUGGGGGAACCACUGAGCUAAAUCCCCGGCCCUCAGAUUUUUUUUUUAACUAAAGAACUUUGGAGCAGGGUUGACAAAAGUGACAUGAAGGACCCCAGUUGAAAUGGAAUUGGAAUUCUGGUGUUCAGGUCUUUUUUCUUUUCAUUAUUUAGAGAAUACUUUAUAUCUACAGAAAUGCUAGAGGGGUAAGGGAGCAACAGAGGUGAUAAGUUUGCUGUUGGGUGUUUAUUUUUUCUUUUUUAUUCCCAGUGCUGGGGACUAAAACGAGAGCCUCAUGCAUGCCAAGCAUGUGCUCCACCACUGAGCUAUACCCUCAGCCCCAAAUUUGCUUUCAUUUUAUGGUCCAUUUUUAAUCUUUCUUGUUGCAGAUCAUAGAGGCAAUAGUGAAAACAAUUGGACCUUAGGAGGUUGAGCUAAGUCUUCUUUUUGGCAGCCUGCAAGUAAUUAUUUUCUAUUAUAUGAUCUCUUUCCCAGUUCAAUUUGGUUUGUUUGGAGUAUAAUCUAAAUCAACAUUAGUUACCCUUGGAUGUCUUUCUCUUUUGGACAACUGCCUGGUUCACUGACAAAAGUACUAGUUCUGAAUUAAGAGAUGUACUGUGUUAUGAACUGUAUUUAACAUUUGAAAACCCCAGCAUCAUCUUGAGGGUUUGUGGAAGAGAGAGGUGUGUGUGUGUGUGUGUGUGUGUGAUGCUAGGGAUCAAACGCAGAGCCUUGUAUGCAGUGCUAGGCAAGCACUGCACCACAGAGCUACAUCUCCAGUCCCUGGGAGGGUGUUUUAAGAGUUAAGAUUGGUGGGGCUGGGGAAUUGACUCAGGGGCACCAUGCCUACCUGGCAACGCAAGGUCCUGAGUUCAGUUUCUGGUACCACAAAGACAAAGUUAAAAUUGGACCCACUCCUUCAAGAUUGUUUCUCAGCAGUCCUAAUAAUCUCCAAGGGGUGGGGCGAAGCCGAAGAGCAGCUUGACUUGUUAGUGCCUGUUUCUAGAUGUAAGGAGUAAAGUGUUCUUGUAAAAAGUGUAACCGUUUUUUGUGUUUUUUUUGGUACCGGGGAUCGAACUCAGGUCCUUGUGCUUGCUAGGCAGCCAGUGGAACCACUGAGCUAAAUCCCCGGCCAAAAGUGUAACUGUUUUGAAUGAAGUUGAUCAAGUGGUCCAGUGCUCUUGAAAUAUUUCUUGACUGCUUAAUGUGUCUUCUUGGUCCAUAAAGAAACUUCCUUCUUCGUCUACUCUCUGUUCUCUCUCUCUUUCCCCCCAUUAGAGGAUGUCAGUCUGAGCAGCCCUGGAUUAGACAUCCCUAAAGAGAAGUAUAACAAAGUUGUUGUUCAGUGUGGCUCUUUCCUGGUAUCUGUAUUUUCUCAUGCAUAAGAAUGUAUAUUUUAUAGAGCAUGUGUUUUUGUUUGUCUCCUGUAGUAUGUCUCAAUAAAGCUCAGAAUACAUU
ensembl:lncRNA